ensembl:snRNA Gm25716 predicted gene, 25716
GUGCUCACUUUGGCAGCACAUACACUAAAAUAGGAACCAUGCAGAGAUUAGCCUGGCCACUGUUCAAUGAUCAUGUGUAAAUUCAUGAAGCAUUCCAUGAAAGU